AUAUCAGGUGCUUCUGUCAAAUCAUCAACAAACAUGCCGAUUGAGGGGAGCUCUGUCAACCUAACCUGUGAUGCAGCUGGCGCUGUCUUUACCAGAAAGUGGGUGAAGGACGGCUCAGAUCUGACUCUGGCUGACAACAUGAUACUUCACGAUAACAACAGAGUGCUGUCUUUUAUCAGUCUGAAUAAAAAAGACAGUGGAGAAUAUUCCUGUUAAAUCAGCAACCCAAUCAACACUGAGGAAGCUACAUACACCGUGGUUGUUAACUUAUCUUGCCCAAGGACACUUUGACAUGCAACCAGGGGGAGCCAGGGAUUGAACCACCAACCUUCUACCACCUGAGCCACAGCCACCCCAUUCUGGAUUACCUGCCUGUUUUGGACCUAGUUCCAGUGCUGUAUGGAUUUGGCUUUAUUUUGGACUCUGUCUGCACCUUUCUGUGUACACCCUGUGUUUCAGUAAGUUUGAAUAAACCCCUGAACUGUA